GCCGCCGCCGCCGCCGCCGCUGCCGCCGACGACGUCGACGCCUGCACAAGCGUUUAAAUUGUAAAAUUUUAAUUGCUCGUAAGCCGCUUGCAAUGGCGCGUCGCAGGAUAAGCAACCGCAAAUUGCUGCUUUAUAAUUUCAAUUUUCAUUUCAGUAUAUUUUAAUUUAGCUUCAUCAUUAUGCGCUCGUCGAUCUACGCUGACCAUCAUCACUAACUGCAAAUAUCAUAUCUUUGCCUGCUUUCCAGUCCGGAACGGAAGUGGCACUUAGGUAUGCUUCGAUCCCAUGCAGUGCGUAACUGCAUCUUUUUUUUUAAGUACUUUGAAUCGAAGCAAACUAACUUUGCGAUGUUUGCCUAGUACAAGAAAUCUGGAUACGAUUCGAAUUUAAACUUUUUCAAAAUAUUACUUUAGAAUACACUUGAUUUACGCCUUUAGAGUUAGAGAUUAUAUAAUAUGAACGAGUAUUCCCCGGCCAUGCCUGUACUUUUAAUUUUAGAUAUCACUUAAUCACCCAUUUUACAUGUAUUGUAUUGUAUCUGUUACCAAACCUACUUUUUAUACCCUUGUAGAGGGUAUUUAGUCACGAAUUGUUGGUAUUAAAUUCAAUAGAAUGUUAAUAUUUUCAACUAACAUUAAGAGUCACUCAAAUAGCCAGGCAAAUUGGUUUCAUUCAUAAUCCAAUAGCUGACAUGGAAACAUUAACAAUUAACAAAGGAGAUCGUAGUAGUCCCGUGCGACCGACAGAGCAAUACCCUGGUCACAGUGCAAUUACCUUUCAUAGCAGCCGAAACAAGUAAGAAUGCUCCUGUCUGGAAUUGCGGGGAUAUUCCUGAAAACUCCUAUAACAUUCUUAGGGCUUGUGUUGUGAGUAGCCAAAUACUAUAUCACUAAAAAUGGGUGUUUUUCAAUUUUCGGUGAACGUAUCCACUUGGAAAAAUGAAAUAUUAAAUUCUAUGAACUGUACACUGAAAAAAUCGAUCACUAUUAACUUGAGUUAGGUAAGGGAUUAAAAAUUCCCUAAGAGGUAAAUGCUUAGAAAAUAUAUUUACAAAUUUUAAAAUAGGCACGUUUUUCUGAAGUGUAGGACAAUUACAUUUUUUGCUAAAAUUUGUCUAUUUUUCACUAAUUCUGGGUUGUUUGAAUUCUAUUAAUAGCAUUGAAAUUGCGAUUGUAUUUAGUUUUUUUCUCAUUAAAACCCAAUAGUUUGUGUGGAUGUUGAGUAAAGGCGGCCGCAGUUUGUGGGGUCUGUAACAGUUUCUCAGGACAAUAGAGGAUAUCUUUAGCCCAUGGCGGCGUAUGGUUUUGCUAAUCUCGUAAGUGAUCUAUAGGAAAGUUAGUUUCUAUUGAAAUAAGCAGUUCAUCUUCAAAUGAAAGUAAAGCUUUUAAGAUAUUGCUUAUCAUUGUAUUCCUAUAUCGAUUAUAGGAAUAGGAAUCUUCAAUGUCCAUGAUGUUCUUACCUUCCUUCUGUCCCCUUAUUUUUCUACGCUAUAUAUGUAUGAUUAUGGGGUAUAUAUAUAAUGUACACAGAUCAAGUAUUUUCAGUUUUAAUAAAAAAAUAAAAACUAAUACGAUAUACUGCAGAAAUUCCAUCAGGUUAGAUUAAGAAACACAGAAGUUAUUGGCAUACUCACGCGCUCAAUCUUUUUCUAAUUAUUUUAAUUGAAUUUCGAUUGCAAUUGCAUUAAAGACUGUGUUGUGUAUAUGUGCAUGUAUUUUAAUGAAGCUUCGGCUUUGGACUCAACGCGAACAGUCCCAUUCUAUUGCAGCUUACAAAAUACAAAACCAUUCUGAAAGAUAGGUCCACGACCAUAGCAGAACAUUGAGUGCCUGUGCUUGAUGUGCAAACAAUUAAAUUAUUUAUUACGUUCAGUAAUAAAUAGUUAAACAAACAAGAACAAACUAAGUAAUACGCCUCACCUGGGCCUGCACUGCAGCGACGAGAUUGACUAAUCGCAAGUUAGCUUUUGUAUUUUUCGGUCCGGUUAGUGUUACCUUCGCCCGAGAAAAAGCGACUUUCAAUUUUGCAGUGCGCUUACAAAAACAGCAUAAGCAUGAACUCGGCUCUGCCAAAGACCCGUCCGCUGGCAGCAACGCCCACUCCAAUACCAGCAGUUCAAAAGCCGUCUCUACUACAGCUUCUACCUUCACAACUGACACAACGGUUAACAGCAAAACACACAGCACCUGCAAUAGUGCAGCGCAGCUCGAUUUGAAUCAAAUGGCGUGGGCAGCGCCGCCGCACCUGCGAAGGGGCAUCAAGCAGUCCUUACCGACGGACUAACUGAUUGGCCAUAAGAGCCUUAUAAGCUGGAGAUGCAUGCUAAUAUGCGGUUUGGGUAAUUCCACCCGAAAUGUGGAAAAAUCGACUGAUCAAUCUGAAUAGUAAUAACAUCAUUUUCUAAGACCUUUGAUUAAAUUCACCUGAAUGGAAUUUUUUUACAUAAUUUACUUUACUUUUAUAUACAAUCUGAAUGAAUUUCAGACGUGUUUCAUUAUUUUAAUUUAUUUUAAACCCUCUGGAAAUUCCACCCACAAUUGUGGUAAAGGUUUAAAUUUCGUCCGAUCGGGCUCGUUUUGAAAGCCCUAGUGACCGUGAAUUCUCAGCAACAGUGUUAAAUUUAAGAAAAAGAAUUGAAUGACAGUUAUUUAAUUACCAUCUGAUAACAAAUGUAUGAUAAAUGCGGAUAAAGUGUUUGAGUUUGAGAUGGAAUAGGUUGAUUGAGUACAGGUACAAAAUGGGUGUAAAACUUACAUCUAAAACACGCUAUGGCUACCAAUAGAAUACAGGCCACAAGAGUGCCACCCACUUACCCUUACCACGACACCAAGGCUUCCCAAAUAGAAUCUAAAGUUUGACACCGAUGACGACAUGACGUCAAUCUCCUCGGAGGUGAAAUAAGAAACUUACACAUUACAACAAACGUAAGAGGUUCUAGUCGGGAGCUCCCGACUUGAGGAUUGCCUAAAGCAGCUUGUGCUGCGAGCUCAUUUGCUUUAGCAGUAAUAUCAAAAAAAAUAAAACAUAAAUGUUUAGUUUCCAUGAUAGUAGUCGAACUCGUAUCAUGAGAUAAUACGUUGUGCGAACCAUCAUAAUAUAAUUUUCACUGGAACUUGUUUAAGACAAUUGCAAUAAAGUUGUGACUGUAAUUGGUGGAUAAGUGCAAUGGGUUUUGAUUUAUUUUAUAGCUUUGUUGUGUAGGCGGAGAGUGGCAGUAUUUAUAAUAUGAAAGGUUUUUUAUAUAUAUUUAUACUAUUCAGAAAGCAACAUGUCAAAUUUGUUGGAUCUAGCUCUAAUAAAGACCGAGAUUUGCUUGAAAAUCAGUUUUUCGAUAUUCCAUUCAAUGUUUCGAUUAUCGUAAGGAGGCGGACCUACCUUCCAAAUUGUAUGUGUCUGGCUUUAAUAGGUUAUGUGAUCCCUGCGUUCAUACAUACGAACGGACGGACAGACAGUCUGACUUGGCUGGAUCGGGUCGGCUUGUGAUGCUGAUCAAGAAUAUAUAUACUUUAUGGGGUCGAAGAUGCUGUCUGUUACAUACAUCUGCAAAAAUACAGUAUACUCAUUUUACCAAUUUUAAUGGGUGCAACCGUAUUAUUGUUUAACUAUUGUUUUGUGAGUGUUCUAUUAAUCGCUAACCUAUCACAUUUCGGAUAUUGACUCACACAGGGCCGGAUGCACAUUUGGGCCACAGAUCGAAUCGCUCAAGUGGUUCUAGCAUAUGGGUGCACUCGGGUGCAUAUGGGUAACUCGGUAUGCACCUUAUGCACAGUAUGCACCUGGUCUUGUGCGAAUGUAUGUAAGAGGCAAAAGGAACCAUCUCCGGCUGCAUAAAGUAUAUAUAUUCUUGAUCAGCAUCAAUAGCCGAGUCGAACCGAUCUAGCCACGGUCUCUCCGAUCGUCCAUCUGCCCAUCGACAAAAACGGAUAUUUUAUUUCUGUUUUUUGACCAUGUAUCUUAGGUAUUAAGAGUAAGUGUCUCUUAAUUUGACCAAUAGUUUCAGGUAUAGUACACACAUUGAUUAAAAUAAUUAAACUGAAAUUAAUACUCUACUUUUUUUUUUCAAAAACAAUUUGCAAUUGAUGGCCACAACAUAAAACAGCGAACCACGUUAAUGUUAGCCAAGCGCAAGAUUUUCGUUCAACUUGUUGUUCUACAAGUCAAAUGUUUGCAUGGCGUUGCGCCAUGAGGCGAUGGCAAUCAUUUUGCUCGUCUAAUGAGAUGGCGAGUUCUAGAGCAGCGGAGAGGAUUUUAAGUGGCUUUAAAGUUUUUUCAAGUGCACUUUUUGCAAGCGAGCGUGAGUUCCUCUGGUUUAGGGUACGUCCGGACGGGCAUACCCGACUAUAUUAAUUGUUUACAUCAGUUGUAUUUGAAAUGAAUUAUUUUGGUUAACUUGGCGUUCUACUAAGUAUUAAUCUUUUACUUUAUACUUUGCUUUUUUCUCUAUUUUGCCUAUUAUUCAGCAAUCAAAAUAAUUUAAUGUGUUUUUUAAGUGAACAUUUUUAUUAUAUAUACAUGUAAAAAUUUACUUAAGUUGUUAAAAAUCAUAGAAACACAUUUUCUUAAGGGUAAAUAAAAAGGCAUUCGUUAUAAACAGUUUGUUUUUAAAAAUAAUUGUAUGUAUAUGGAUAAACAUGAACUGUUUUCAAUAGUCAAUAAAUUUUGAUUUCUUUUAA